GUAUGGGGAUCUGCCUGAUAGAGGGGGAUAACUACUGGAAACGGUGGCUAAUACCGCAUAAUGUCUACGGACCAAAGCAGGGGCUCUUCGGACCUUGCACUAUCGGAUGAACCCAUAUGGGAUUAGCUAGUAGGUGGGGUAAAGGCUCACCUAGACGACGAUCUCUAGCUGGUCUGAGAGGAUGAUCAGCCACACUGGGACUGAGACACGGCCCAG
rnacentral:rRNA from 1 species